GAAGUGUCCUUGUGUCCUUUUUGCAACAUAAAUGUUUUACGUUUGAUAUGGCAAAAGCGGCUGAAGGGAUUUGAAUAACAAUCCAACUAGGAAAUGCUACCAGUAUUCUCGAUACUAUGCCGCAAGGCCAUUUUUAGAUUGAUAAUUAUGGUUAUAUUUAGUUGAGUUUUUAUUUUUGGACUUAAUCGAAAUGAAUUUUCUUCCCUUUUUGUACUGUCAUCAGCAAUAAUAUAGGCAUUGUAAAACGAAACACGCAAAAAUAUGUGGCACACACUUCUCCUUCUUUCCCCUGCCCUUAUCCCACGUUAUGUGGGGUCGGCACAACAUGUUUUUCUCUUCCAUUCUCCUCUGUCUUUCGUCUCCUCAGCACUCACUCCUUUCUUUCUCAUAUCCUCUUUCACACAAUCCAUCCAUCGUUUUUUGGGUCUACCAUACGCUCUCCGUCCAUCAACAUUCAUCCCUAACAUUCUUUUGCCUAUAUGGCAUUCAUCCCUCCUCAUUACAUGCCCAUACCACGCUAACCUAGUACUCCUCAUUUUCUCCGUUACUGGAGCUACUUUCAAACUUCCUCUUAUAUACUCAUUCUUAAUACGAUCCUUUCUCGUCACUCCACACAUCCAUCUCAGCAUUCUCAUUUCCGCUGCGUGCACUCUUCUUUCAUCCGCUACUUUCGACGCCCAGCAUUCUGAUCCAUACAUUACAACAGGUCUCACGAUCGUUCUGUAUAUUUUCCCCUUAAGUUUAAGGGGCAUUCGUGGAUCGCAAGUUGUUCCAGAGACCUGUCGCCAUUUCAUCCAUCCCACAUUUAUUCUAUUUUUCAUGUCACGUGGCACACACUUAUUGCGCUAUAAAUCGGAUCCGUGUCAGAUAUUUUUGCUGCUGACUGUACUUUUCAUAUGUGAUAAAUGAUAAUGUGCUUGAGUGUAUGUACACAUUAGUCACAUAAAUAGUAAUUAAAGCAGCAAUGCUUUUCUUAAUUUUGUAUCAGCAUUCGAAGUGAACAUGAAGAUUAUAAUAGCAUUGUGUUCAAUGUUUGUGUUAGGUCUAGAGGUAGCGAGCCAAACUGGACCGUGCGGCUGCAAACCGGUGUUCGAAUAUUGCGCCAACGACUACACCACGUACCACAGCAUCUGCGAGUACAAGUGCAAACAUCCCUCCACCCCGUUCCAUGACUGGUACAUUCUGUAUAACGGGCCUUGCAUUUCUACGUCGGAGACUACAACCCAUGCAAGUACUACAACUACGCGCAAGCAUUUUAAGACUACAACGUCUACAACUGAUCCAUUUGAGGUGUACACUCCGGGUAAUAAUAUGAAUGGAUAGUUAUAGUAACACGUAUUUUGUUGUUACGAAAGAGUAACGUGGAUCACUCUAACGAUUUUGCGAAACUUAAAUAAACUAUUCAGUGGUUGA